rnacentral:rRNA from 1 species
UACGAAGGGGGCUAGCGUUGUUCGGAAUUACUGGGCGUAAAGCGCACGUAGGCGGAUUGUUUAGUUAGAGGUGAAAUCCCAGGGCUCAACCCUGGAACUGCCUUUAAUACUGGCAAUCUAGAGAUCGGAAGAGGUUAGUGGAAUUCCCAGUGUAGAGGUGAAAUUCGUAGAUAUUGGGAAGAACACCAGUGGCGAAGGCGGCUAACUGGUCCGAUACUGACGCUGAGGUGCGAAAGCGUGGGGAGCAAACAGG